CUUGUCAGCAUGCAUGAAGAGUUAGAUUGUAAAUCAGAGGUGUGUAGAAUGAUUCAAACGUAAGCCAUUUUGAGUGGUUUGUUCUUGAAAUGAAACACCUGUGUACUGAAAGCAGGUUUCGAGAACAGAACAAUACAUGGUGUUUAGUUGCCCUUCUUGAGUGGGGCUACUUACAAGUGUCCCCUACUGUUCCUGGUGACUUGAUUAUUCUUAUAUCUUGCAAUUAGAACUAUUGCUAUUGGCUAAGGCCAAGUGGGUUGAUUUGGUGUGGUCAUGAAAUACUGAGGAGCAGGAAAAGCAGACCCAUUCUGGAUCUGAUUCAACUGUUUGUGGGAGAUUAAGAGAGAAUGAGGAAUGAGUCCAUUGGGUUGGGUGGCUAAUAAAUUUAAAUAGAUAAAUAUGUGAGCAACCUAUGACUAAACUUCUGUUGCAAAAGCUGUUGAAUAUAAACUUAACUGUCUGCAAAGAAAAUUCUGGGUUGUCACUGAAACAUUAUGAACCUCACUGCUGUGAGAACAAGUGCUGGCAAGGUUGAAAGCCCAAGGACUGAGACCAGACUAAUCUGGGACACUAACAACAAACAGGUGCCAACUACUUCUCGGGUUGAGAGAUAUGCAGAGUAUUAUAAUAUAUGGGUUUCUCAGAAUAUGUGGUUGACCAUGGAAGAAACAGAAUGCUGGACUGGAUACACCAUUACCUACCCAGCAAAGCUAUUGUUAUUAUAUCACUACUGGUGUGGCAUUUGUUCAGUGGCAUUGCAUGAUGGCACACAAAACUACCUCUCAAGACAAGAUGCAACACAAGGGUACAAAGACCUGCAGGCUGAAGCAAAGUAUUGGCUUAUUCUGCCUAAUGAAGCUCUCCCAAAGCUGAUUCAUCUUCAUAAGCAGCCUCAUUAAACAACACAUGACUGGCAGCUGUUCAAAGCCUCAGAAAGCUGCCAGGCUCAUGCUGCCUAAUGGGGCUGCACACAGGGAUUGACACAAAUUCUCCCUUGAGUCUGUAAGACUCAGGGGCCAAGCAAAGGGUUUAGUGAACCCCUUGGUCCUUCUCAUCCACCCAUGCUUUAUAACAGACUGAGGAAAGAGCAGUGACACCUUAACCCAGUGUUUCUCAACC